AGCGAUUCUCCUGCCUCAGCCUCCCAAGUGGCUGGGACUACAGGCUGUGAAGUCUGGGUGAGAUCUUGACAGUGGUGGCAGUGGUGGGAUCCAUGCAUGGCGUCUGGAAGAAGGAGAGAAAGGAAGAGAAAGAGGCAAGGAGGGAGGAGGAAAAUGAGGCCUUGAAAUAUCAUACACAGUUCCUUGGAUGGAAGGAGGAGCGGGGUGAGCAUAACCUGGCAGCUUAGGUGGGAGAGAGGAAGAAAUUGGAUGGUUUUUAUAGUAUUUCCAGUAUUCUCGUGUUUGUACUCAGACAUAACUUCCGAGGGGGAGCUCUGUCUUCAGAUUAGGGAGGCCCCCUUGCUGUGAGGGACCAGCUGUGUACCAGUGCUCUGUUUGGAAGAGCUAUUUCCUGUGGGAUGACUCAUAGUUCCUCUUCCAGAAACUGGACCUUUCCCCUGACUUCAGCUGUCUCCUCUUGUUCUGGGCCUGGACUUCUCUUCCUACAGGUCCUCCUAAGGAACUAAGUUGACCCUCUUCAGCUCUCAGGGUUUUCUGGCAGGUUGCAAGUUCCUGCUGACAUUCUAAAGGCCAAUGCUCUUUAAGGAAGAUUCUAGCUCCACAGCCUCCCUUUUGUCAGAGCUGAGAUUAUCAGUGGUUUUGCAUUUCUCCUGAAUCAGUGGGACGUGUUUUUCUUUUAGCUGUGUCUCUCUUUUAACAUAAGGUUGGAUUUCAGCAGAUUAAUAUAUCUUAAAAAAAAAAAGCUAUGAAAAGUCUACAUAUGGCUGCACAUGUCCCAGACUCUCACAAGAGGGGGAGGAAGUCGAGGUCAGGCUCAGGUUGAGUUGGGUCAUGGCAACCUCCCUACUCACUUUCCUAAGGACAUUCUCCAAGGGGCGCUGCACAGAGGGCACCCUGAGCACCAUCCUGUAGCCAUGGCUCCACAAGGCCACACUCCACACACACCACAGAGCCACCCCAAGGGUUCAUCCUGGAGCCCACAUCAGCGACUGGGAAACAGCACAGAGCCCUGGGACCUUGGGAGAUGGCCGGACAGAUUCAGCGAAGAAUACCUUUGCCCUGGGACUGCCCAGCACAUCCAGCUCCCUCCUUCCUUUCUCUCAUAGUUGCAUACAUGGGGACAUAAGGAAACGCUGAAAGACUAGUACAGUGGACGUCCCUAUAUGUACCUGCUAGAUAGAACAGUUGACAUUUUCCUAUAUUUACUUCUAUCUCUGUCUCUUUUUUUCCUGAAACAUUUCAAAGCAAUAGAUGACUUGACAUUUCAGCGUGCAUUUGAAAAUCGUAUGCACAUUGUACUGCAUUUCCAUAUGUCACUGUGGUCCUUUGUUAAGCUCAUUUUCCGGAUGAGGAAAGGAACUGAAGCACAGAGAAAGAAGUUACACAUGAAAUUGCAGACCUAAAAUUUAUAUCCAGCUCUCCCUAGCUCUGAAUGUUGCAAGAAAAUUUUACAGUGAUCUUUCUGACUGCGUGGAGGAGAAGGCCUCAGAUCAGUGCCUAUCCUUUCUCACAUCUCCCUGGCAUUCUCUUAUCUCCUUUUUCAGCAAAGAGAGGGUGUUUCUCAGGUGUAGAAUGAUUGCAGGCACAAGGUCUCUCUCAAACUUAAUAAUGUAUUUUAAAAUUUAUAUUUAAUUUUAUACUUAUCUGUCAUUUAUGGCUAUAUUUUUGCAUAUGCCCAUAUUUUAUAUUUUAAAAAUGCAAAGCAGUGGAUAUAAAGAAACUUUUAAUACACAUUUACUUAAAUAAAAGUGUUAUAAUAUUGGUAGUACAUGGCAAAAAUUAUAGCAAAAAUUGUCCCUUUGAUAGGUGAAUUACUGAAGCCUUAGCAAUAAUGUUGCAAACUCUGUGAAAGGGCUGCUGUGGGUAUAAACCACCCUUCCUCCAGCUGAGUCUGAACUUUAGGGGGCAUUUCUGAUUCCUAGUCCUGUCCCCGCUUGUCUUGGCUGUCUGGAGGAAGAGGAGAACCAGUCAUUGGUGUGGCCUAAGUCGAACGAGGAACUGUGGUGAGUCUUCUCCCUGACCCCCUUUUCCCACCCAUCCCGACAUAUUUCUUCUGUUUUGCAUUCCCAGUGCCAGGGACUGUUUGUGUGUCAAAUAUGCCAUGAAAUGUGCAUCUUUCCCAUGAGCAAAUGAAGAGGUGGGGGUGCUUACUCAUCCCUAAGCCCUGGUUGCUUUCUCAGACACAUUCUAAAUAGCAAAGCAGUCUCCUCCAGGGGACCUUUCAGGGAUGGGCUUCAGGGCCAUCCUGGGCCGUGACCCUCUGUGCAGCUAUCCUUGGAAGUAGUCCUUGGGAAGGUGAGCAGGGAGGGACUGUGACAUCUAAAGUCCAAGCUCUGACUACUUCUGUCCCUGGGAAUCAGUGACAUGUGAAGCUAUGGCUAGAUUUUUCAUAGAUCUCUUAUUUGUAUUCAAAAAGCAUUCAGAAGUUUUUAUUUAGCUAAAAGUUGGCUUUAUGUUAAGCGGGAGGCAGUUGGCACAGAACUAGUCUGUUGAUUAAGGAAAAAUGUAAAUCCACUGACAACCUCAGGUCUGAUAAAAGGGAAUAUGAGACGCCGGAGUCUCCUCUAGGGGGCGCUAACCUCCAGAAUCAGCUGUUGGAAGUCAUGUGCAGGAAAGCCACCCUGAGUUGAAGAGGACUCACUGAGUGGUGCGCUGCCUGCCCCCGGCCAUCUCUCCAAGG
rnacentral:lncRNA from 1 species